rnacentral:rRNA from 1 species
UGGGGAAUAUUGCACAAUGGGCGCAAGCCUGAUGCAGCCAUGCCGCGUGUGUGAAGAAGGCCUUCGGGUUGUAAAGCACUUUCAGCGGGGAGGAAGGCGAUAAGGUUAAUAACCUUGUCGAUUGACGUUACCCGCAGAAGAAGCACCGGCUAACUCCGUGCCAGCAGCCGCGGUAAUACGGCGGGUGCAAGCGUUAAUCGGAAUUACUGGGCGUAAAGCGCACGCAGGCGGUCUGUCAAGUCGGAUGUGAAAUCCCCGGGCUUAACCUGGGAACUGCAUUCGAAACUGGCAGGCUAGAGUCUUGUAGAGGGGGGUAGAAUUCCAGGUGUAGCGGUGAAAUGCGUAGAGAUCUGGAGGAAUACCGGUGGCGAAGGCGGCCCCCUGGACAAAGACUGACGCUCAGGUGCGAAAGCGUGGGGAGCAAACAGG